UACGUAGGUGGCAAGCGUUGUCCGGAUUUACUGGGCGUAAAGCGUGCGCAGGCGGACAAGUAAGUAGGAAGUGAAAGGUUGGAGCUCAACUCCAACACUGCUCCCUAUACUGCUUGUCUUGAAUGUCGGAGAGGAAGAGGGAACGACACGUGUAGCGGUGAAAUGCGUUGAGAUGUGUCGGAACACCAAUGGGAAGACACUCUUCUGGACGAAUAUUGACGCUCAGGCACGAAAGCUAAGGUAGCAAACAGG
rnacentral:rRNA from 1 species